UGAAGCCGGAAUUGCUAGUAAUGGCAGGUCAGCAUACUGCCGUGAAUACGUUCCCGGGCCUUGUACACACCGCCCGUCACACCAUGAGAGUUGGGAAUACCCGAAGCCUGUGAGCUAACAAAUAGAGGCAGCAGUCGAAGGUAGAAUCAAUGAUUGGGGUGAAGUCGUAACAAGGUAAC
rnacentral:rRNA from 1 species